rnacentral:rRNA from 1 species
UACAGAGGGAGCAAACGUUGCUCGGAAUCACUGGGCGUAAAGCGCGUGUAGGCGGACCGGAAAGUCGGGUGUGAAAUCCCUGGGCUCAACCCAGGAACUGCAUCCGAAACUACCAGCCUAGAGUGUCGGAGAGGGAAGUGGAAUUCUUGGUGUAGAGGUGAAAUUCGUAGAUAUCAAGAGGAACACCGGUGGCGAAGGCGGCUUCCUGGACGAUAACUGACGCUGAGACGCGAAAGCGUGGGGAGCAAACAGG